rnacentral:rRNA from 1 species
GACGAACGCUGGCGGCGUGCCUAAUACAUGCAAGUAGAACGCUGAAGGAGGAGCUUGCUUCUCUGGAUGAGUUGCGAACGGGUGAGUAACGCGUAGGUAACCUGCCUGGUAGCGGGGGAUAACUAUUGGAAACGAUAGCUAAUACCGCAUAAUAGCAGUUGUUGCAUGACAACUGUUUGAAAGGUGCAAUUGCACCACUACCAGAUGGACCUGCGUUGUAUUAGCUAGUUGGUGGGGUAACGGCUCACCAAGGCGACGAUACAUAGCCGACCUGAGAGGGUGAUCGGCCACACUGGGACGGAGACACGGCCCAGACUCCUACGGGAGGCAGCAGUAGGGAAUCUUCGGCAAUGGACGGAAGUCUGACCGAGCAACGCCGCGUGAGUGAAGAAGGUUUUCGGAUCGUAAAGCUCGGUUGUAAGAGAAGAACGAGUGUGAGAGUGGAAAGUUCACACUGUGACGGUAUCUGACCAGAAAGGGACGGCUAACUACGUG